GGAGAGAUGUCUGAGUGGCUUAAGGAGCACGCUUGGAAAGCGUGUGAACUCGAAAGGGUUCCGAGGGUUCGAAUCCCUCUCUCUCCGCCA
rnacentral:tRNA from 1 species